AUGAACGCUAGCUACAGGCUUAACACAUGCAAGUCGAGGGGCAGCAUGAACUUAGCUUGCUAAGUUUGAUGGCGACCGGCGCACGGGUGAGUAACACGUAUCCAACCUGCCGAUGACUCGGGGAUAGCCUUUCGAAAGAAAGAUUAAUACCCGAUGGCAUAGUUCUUCCGCAUGGUAGAACUAUUAAAGAAUUUCGGUCAUCGAUGGGGAUGCGUUCCAUUAGGUUGUUGGCGGGGUAACGGCCCACCAAGCCUUCGAUGGAUAGGGGUUCUGAGAGGAAGGUCCCCCACAUUGGAACUGAGACACGGUCCAAACUCCUACGGGAGGCAGCAGUGAGGAAUAUUGGUCAAUGGACGAGAGUCUGAACCAGCCAAGUAGCGUGAAGGAUGACUGCCCUAUGGGUUGUAAACUUCUUUUAUACGGGAAUAAAGUGAGGCACGUGUGCCUUUUUGUAUGUACCGUAUGAAUAAGGAUCGGCUAACUCCGUGCCAGCAGCCGCGGUAAUACGGAGGAUCCGAGCGUUAUCCGGAUUUAUUGGGUUUAAAGGGAGCGUAGGCGGACGCUUAAGUCAGUUGUGAAAGUUUGCGGCUCAACCGUAAAAUUGCAGUUGAUACUGGGUGUCUUGAGUACAGUAGAGGCAGGCGGAAUUCGUGGUGUAGCGGUGAAAUGCUUAGAUAUCACGAAGAACUCCGAUUGCGAAGGCAGCUUGCUGGACUGUAACUGACGCUGAUGCUCGAAAGUGUGGGUAUCAAACAGGAUUAGAUACCCUGGUAGUCCACGCCGUAAACGAUGAGUGCUAGGUGUUGGAUCCUUUCCGGGAUUCAGUGCCGAAGCUAACGCAUUAAGCACUCCGCCUGGGGAGUACGACCGCAAGGUUGAAACUCAAAGGAAUUGACGGGGGCCCGCACAAGCAGUGGAGUAUGUGGUUUAAUUCGACGCAACGCGAAGAACCUUACCAGGGCUUGACAUAUAAGUGAAUAAUUAAGAGAUUAGUUAGCUCUUCGGAGCACUUAUACAGGUGGUGCAUGGUUGUCGUCAGCUCGUGCCGUGAGGUGUCGGCUUAAGUGCCAUAACGAGCGCAACCCUUAUCGAUAGUUACCAUCAGGUUAUGCUGGGGACUCUGUCGAGACUGCCGUCGUAAGAUGUGAGGAAGGUGGGGAUGACGUCAAAUCAGCACGGCCCUUACGUCCGGGGCUACACACGUGUUACAAUGGGGGGUACAGAAGGCAGCUACACGGCGACGUGAUGCUAAUCCCGAAAGCCUCUCUCAGUUCGGAUUGGAGUCUGCAACCCGACUCCAUGAAGCUGGAUUCGCUAGUAAUCGCGCAUCAGCCACGGCGCGGUGAAUACGUUCCCGGGCCUUGUACACACCGCCCGUCACACCAUGAGAGUUGGGGAUACCCGAAGCCUGUGAGCCAACAUAUCUAUGAGGCAGCAGUCGAAGGUAGAAUCAAUGAUUGGGGUG
rnacentral:rRNA from 1 species